rnacentral:rRNA from 1 species
GGGUUGUGAGGUUAAGCGACUAAGCGUACACGGUGGAUGCCCUGGCAGUCAGAGGCGAUGAAGGACGUGCUAAUCUGCGAUAAGCGUCGGUAAGGUGAUAUGAACCGUUAUAACCGGCGAUUUCCGAAUGGGGAAACCCAGUGUGAUUCGUCACACUAUCAUUAACUGAAUCCAUAGGUUAAUGAGGCGAACCGGGGGAACUGAAACAUCUAAGUACCCCGAGGAAAAGAAAUCAACCGAGAUUCCCCCAGUAGCGGCGAGCGAACGGGGAGCAGCCCAGAGCCUGAAUCAGUGUGUGUGUUAGUGGAAGCGUCUGGAAAGGCGCGCGAUACAGGGUGACAGCCCCGUACACAAAAAUGCACAUACUGUGAGCUCGAUGAGUAGGGCGGGACACGUGGUAUCCUGUCUGAAUAUGGGGGGACCAUCCUCCAAGGCUAAAUACUCCUGACUGACCGAUAGUGAACCAGUACCGUGAGGGAAAGGCGAAAAGAACCCCGGCGAGGGGAGUGAAAAAGAACCUGAAACCGUGUACGUACAAGCAGUGGGAGCACAGAGCAAUCUGUGUGACUGCGUACCUUUUGUAUAAUGGGUCAGCGACUUAUAUUCUGUAGCAAGGUUAACCGAAUAGGGGAGCCGAAGGGAAACCGAGUCUUAACUGGGCGUUAAGUUGCAGGGUAUAGACCCGAAACCCGGUGAUCUAGCCAUGGGCAGGUUGAAGGUUGGGUAACACUAAUUGGAGGACCGAACCGACUAAUGUUGAAAAAUUAGCGGAUGACUUGUGGCUGGGGGUGAAAGGCCAAUCAAACCGGGAGAUAGCUGGUUCUCCCCGAAAGCUAUUUAGGUAGCGCCUCGUGAAUUCAUCUCCGGGGGUAGAGCACUGUUUCGGCAAGGGGGUCAUCCCGACUUACCAACCCGAUGCAAACUGCGAAUACCGGAGAAUGUUAUCACGGGAGACACACGGCGGGUGCUAACGUCCGUCGUGAAGAGGGAAACAACCCAGACCGCCAGCUAAGGUCCCAAAGUCAUGGUUAAGUGGGAAACGAUGUGGGAAGGCCCAGACAGCCAGGAUGUUGGCUUAGAAGCAGCCAUCAUUUAAAGAAAGCGUAAUAGCUCACUGGUCGAGUCGGCCUGCGCGGAAGAUGUAACGGGGCUAAACCAUGCACCGAAGCUGCGGCAGCGACGCUGAUGCGUUGUUGGGUAGGGGAGCGUUCUGUAAGCCUGUGAAGGUGUGCUGUGAGGCAUGCUGGAGGUAUCAGAAGUGCGAAUGCUGACAUAAGUAACGAUAAAGCGGGUGAAAAGCACGCUCGCCGGAAGACCAAGGGUUCCUGUCCAACGUUAAUCGGGGCAGGGUGAGUCGACCCCUAAGGCGAGGCCGAAAGGCGUAGUCGAUGGGAAACAGGUUAAUAUUCCUGUACUUGGUGUUACUGCGAAGGGGGGACGGAGAAGGCUAUGUUGGCCGGGCGACGGUUGUCCCGGUUUAAGCGUGUAGGCUGGUUUUCCAGGCAAAUCCGGAAAAUCAAGGCUGAGGCGUGAUGACGAGGCACUACGGUGCUGAAGCAACAAAUGCCCUGCUUCCAGGAAAAGCCUCUAAGCAUCAGGUAACAUCAAAUCGUACCCCAAACCGACACAGGUGGUCAGGUAGAGAAUACCAAGGCGCUUGAGAGAACUCGGGUGAAGGAACUAGGCAAAAUGGUGCCGUAACUUCGGGAGAAGGCACGCUGAUAUGUAGGUGAAGUCCCUCGCGGAUGGAGCUGAAAUCAGUCGAAGAUACCAGCUGGCUGCAACUGUUUAUUAAAAACACAGCACUGUGCAAACACGAAAGUGGACGUAUACGGUGUGACGCCUGCCCGGUGCCGGAAGGUUAAUUGAUGGGGUUAGCGCAAGCGAAGCUCUUGAUCGAAGCCCCGGUAAACGGCGGCCGUAACUAUAACGGUCCUAAGGUAGCGAAAUUCCUUGUCGGGUAAGUUCCGACCUGCACGAAUGGCGUAAUGAUGGCCAGGCUGUCUCCACCCGAGACUCAGUGAAAUUGAACUCGCUGUGAAGAUGCAGUGUACCCGCGGCAAGACGGAAAGACCCCGUGAACCUUUACUAUAGCUUGACACUGAACAUUGAGCCUUGAUGUGUAGGAUAGGUGGGAGGCUUUGAAGUGUGGACGCCAGUCUGCAUGGAGCCGACCUUGAAAUACCACCCUUUAAUGUUUGAUGUUCUAACGUUGACCCGUAAUCCGGGUUGCGGACAGUGUCUGGUGGGUAGUUUGACUGGGGCGGUCUCCUCCUAAAGAGUAACGGAGGAGCACGAAGGUUGGCUAAUCCUGGUCGGACAUCAGGAGGUUAGUGCAAUGGCAUAAGCCAGCUUGACUGCGAGCGUGACGGCGCGAGCAGGUGCGAAAGCAGGUCAUAGUGAUCCGGUGGUUCUGAAUGGAAGGGCCAUCGCUCAACGGAUAAAAGGUACUCCGGGGAUAACAGGCUGAUACCGCCCAAGAGUUCAUAUCGACGGCGGUGUUUGGCACCUCGAUGUCGGCUCAUCACAUCCUGGGGCUGAAGUAGGUCCCAAGGGUAUGGCUGUUCGCCAUUUAAAGUGGUACGCGAGCUGGGUUUAGAACGUCGUGAGACAGUUCGGUCCCUAUCUGCCGUGGGCGCUGGAGAACUGAGGGGGGCUGCUCCUAGUACGAGAGGACCGGAGUGGACGCAUCACUGGUGUUCGGGUUGUCAUGCCAAUGGCACUGCCCGGUAGCUAAAUGCGGAAGAGAUAAGUGCUGAAAGCAUCUAAGCACGAAACUUGCCCCGAGAUGAGUUCUCCCUGACCCUUUAAGGGUCCUGAAGGAACGUUGAAGACGACGACGUUGAUAGGCCGGGUGUGUAAGCGCAGCGAUGCGUUGAGCUAACCGGUACUAAUGAACCGUGAGGCUUAACCUUACAACGCCGAAGGUGUUU